UUCCUUUUAGUUUAAAUAAAAACUUCAAUUUUGUAAUUUGAAAAUGACCAAACUUUUUCUGGCCAAAGGAAA
rnacentral:tRNA from 1 species